rnacentral:rRNA from 1 species
GGGACACGUGGUAUCCUGUCUGAAUAUGGGGGGACCAUCCUCCAAGGCUAAAUACUCCUGACUGACCGAUAGUGAACCAGUACCGUGAGGGAAAGGCGAAAAGAACCCCGGCGAGGGGAGUGAAAAAGAACCUGAAACCGUGUACGUACAAGCAGUGGGAGCACAGAGCAAUCUGUGUGACUGCGUACCUUUUGUAUAAUGGGUCAGCGACUUAUAUUCUGUAGCAAGGUUAACCGAAUAGGGGAGCCGAAGGGAAACCGAGUCUUAACUGGGCGUUAAGUUGCAGGGUAUAGACCCGAAACCCGGUGAUCUAGCCAUGGGCAGGUUGAAGGUUGGGUAACACUAACUGGAGGACCGAACCGACUAAUGUUGAAAAAUUAGCGGAUGACUUGUGGCUGGGGGUGAAAGGCCAAUCAAACCGGGAGAUAGCUGGUUCUCCCCGAAAGCUAUUUAGGUAGCGCCUCGUGAAUUCAUCUCCGGGGGUAGAGCACUGUUUCGGCAAGGGGGUCAUCCCGACUUACCAACCCGAUGCAAACUGCGAAUACCGGAGAAUGUUAUCACGGGAGACACACGGCGGGUGCUAACGUCCGUCGUGAAGAGGGAAACAACCCAGACCGCCAGCUAAGGUCCCAAAGUCAUGGUUAAGUGGGAAACGAUGUGGGAAGGCCCAGACAGCCAGGAUGUUGGCUUAGAAGCAGCCAUCAUUUAAAGAAAGCGUAAUAGCUCACUGGUCGAGUCGGCCUGCGCGGAAGAUGUAACGGGGCUAAACCAUGCACCGAAGCUGCGGCAGCGACGCUUAUGCGUUGUUGGGUAGGGGAGCGUUCUGUAAGCCUGUGAAGGUGUGCUGUGAGG